rnacentral:lncRNA from 1 species
CCAUUUCCAGCUCACAUCCAGCUCUGCGCCCCGGAGGGAGAGGGAGGGAAGAGAGAUUGUGGUCUGCAUCCUGGAGAGCUUCUUCUUCAACGAAGGUCAGUUUGCAUAUUCAACUUCAUCUGAUAUUCUAGGUGAAUCAGACUGCUUAGAAUUAUAUUGUCGAUCAAUUUUCAAUUGAAAAAAAAAAUUAGGAAAAGAAUUUGAUUAAAGGUUCAUAUGCAUAUUCAGAUUCAUACGAUUUUAUACCUGAUUAAAACUGCUUCCGUCUUGUGCAGUUUUUGUUUUUUUGGUGAUUCAUGGAAAAUCAAUGUUCAAUAUAAGAUCUAACAAAUAAUCAUUAUUAUUAUUUGUUUCGGUUACCGUUCCAUGAAUUCAUUCUUUGUGCCAUUCCUUUUUUCUUUUUUUUGUCGAUGAUAUUUCAUGACCUAUUCGACGCUUGAAUCUUUGCUCACAUUGUAAUUUUGUAUGAUCAAUGUUCUUAGACGGUUGAGUUUUUGUUAUUUUCAGGCCCAAUUCAAGCAACUUGAAAGUGUUCAAUGAGCAUUGUCCACAUGCUGCUAUGUGGUAUGUUUUCUCACUUGGGCUGAUUGGCAAAUGUUUUUAGAGAUAUAAGGAAAAGACAAUUUUUUAUAAAUUUUUAAUCGUUAUGAUUUGUACUGUCUUAGUUACACCUGUUCUUUGAUGAGAAUUACCUUAUGACUCACAACUACCAACCUCAUCAGUCAUCACCCUUCUCAGCCUGCUCCUCUCUAAUUUAAUCAACAUAUGUAUACACAAUAGUAGGUAACUUCCGAUUGAGGGAUCUUAAAAUAAGUUUAUUUAGGGAUAUUAUUGUAUGGCUUCUUUGGCAUUGUAUUUCAAUAAUUCGACUGUCAAAGUUUAAAUAAGUGUAUUUUAGGGAUAUUAUUGUAUGGCUUACUUGGCAUUGUAUUUCAAUGAUCCGACUGUCAAAGUUUAUUCCUGCAAAAAACCGACCUGAAUCAGAAACCACUAACCACUCAAUCAUCGUCAUAUUAUUUCUUACAAAGAUGAUCUUUGAAUAAAUUUUUAAAAAAUGAACAAUUUGGAAUUGUUGAAGUACAAAUGCAAAGUGGACUCCAGAGGUACCCCUUAAAUAACUUUAGGGAUGCUUCAAUAAAAAGGCUGUCCACACGAUAGUUUUAUAGAAGUGACAAAUCAGGCUGCUCUGCAUGUUCAUUUUCUUGACAAAUGAUUGAUUCUCACCAGCCUGUUGCAGCUUUGAUGAAACUGGGAAAAUGACAAUUCAUUCACUUGGAUUGGACCUUGAAUAAACUUUCUCAUUUGCCACCCGGAUGGUGGUAGGAUAAGCAAUAAUGUGAAUAGUUAUAUAUAUAUAUAUAUUUUUAUAGCUAAUGCUUUAGGAUAGUUUUCUUUGACAUCCUUAGGAUAAGCAUCUCCCAUACACUAAGCCAUUCCUCAUCUACAUCCUUUAAAUUGUCACAAGCUUGGCCUUAGAUUUUUAUUGUUCUGUAUCAUAUUGAACUGUCAUUUCAUCUUAAAUUGUUGUCUGAGACGUUUAGAUUUCCAAAGACUGCUUAAAUAAUUGUUUGGACUUUUUUGUUUGUUUGCUUGAAAUUUCAUAGAUCAAGAAAAUGAUUUGGCAUUGGUGCUUGUCAGUCUCAUAGGAAGGUAGCUUUUAGAGUUUGGACUUUGUCUAAUAGGUUCAGCUUUGCAGCACAUCCUCAACCACCACGGCUGAUUCUGCUCGAUUUGCUUUGGUUUCAAACUUAUUUCUUUUACACUGAGGUUCUGAAAUUUUGUUUUUGAAGGACGGUGGUUUUACAGUAUCAAGACUUAUGUCCUUUCCUUCAUAUAUUUAUCUAUUUCCCUCAACGUAUUUUCAGGGUUCUCUGCUAUUUGUGAUAAUUCUUAAAAUAAUGAAAAAACGACAUUACUUAGUGGAAAACAAACGUCUGCUGUUGGCACAUUAUUGAUCAGAGCCCUUGUACUAUUUCUGUUGAUUUUCUUAGCCUCAUUUUGAUUGAUUUAUAUAUAUAUAUAUAUAUAUAUUUUUCUCUGUGGAGAAUAUCCCCAAAUGGCAAUUUCCUUAGGCUAGUAGUAUUUGGUGUGAUUCUCACGAUUGUCGGUACAAAUUAACUUUGUACAAUCGAUGUGCACAUGACAUUAUUCUUACAGUGACUUGUUGUUCGAUUAGUCUAUUGUUGUUGUUGUGAUCAACUAUUCCUUUGAGAGGUUGAUGGGUUUUUUACUUUCAUACGUUACAUAAAAUGCUUGUGGUCAGUGUUUUAGGUGUUCUUUUGAUUCUUCUUUUUGAACCAUACUUUGCUUUUGAGUUAUAGAAUCAUUCGUAACAGUUGCCAGGCUUAUCCUGCAUUUUCAUAUAGGGUGCAUAAGAAUCAUUUGCAUAUUUAAAUUAGGGAAAUGCUUAAAAAUAAUCAGCACACACCCGCAGACAACCAUCAACCAUUAGUGUGUGUAAGCUUCCUAGUGGAUCUACAAGCAUCUUUGGUUGACAAUUACUGGUCCACAUUAUGUAUGUGCAUAGAUUGUCACUAAUUUUAACCUAAACUACAAAAUAUGAGAAAAACUUACAUAGUACGGGAUGUAUUGCCUCUUUAAAUAUCUCUCUAUAAGUGAUUUGCACAUAAAUCAGGAAGUAGGAAGGGAGGAUUCUGAAGACGGGAUAAGUUAUCUCCCCACACACUAUGUGAUUAUAUGUUAGUCACUUGAAAGAAUAAUGUUUAGUCACAUAUCACAUGUAAGUUUCUUUAAAGAGAACCAUAAUUCUUUCUGCUAGCAUUAGGACAAGCUUUAAAGACACUUUAACCUAGAGCUUAAGAGAGGCCAAAUAUUUGACCUAAAAAACCAAGAGAGAGCAAUUACGACUUAAUAGGCCUAGAAAUAAAUUCCAAGGAUGGGUUGAAAGGUCAUAUACGUUAAGUGUUGCUUUUGGACUUGGACCUUGGUGUGGUGACAGCAACUAGAUGGACAAACCUAAAUGCUGUAGGUGGAUAAAAUAGGUUCCCUGUUCUCUGACAAAGAUAUCACCUUAAUUUUACAUUAGUAUAUUCAUUAUUGCAUUCCCAAAGUCCCAAUGUUCAUCAAAGCUGCAGACCCCAUCACCCCCACGGUCCAAAAAGGACAAUCAGUCAAACAGAAACAGAGCACUAGAUAAAGUAAGACUGACAAUAAAAAUAUAACAUAAGAACAUAUAAAAUUCCUGCAAUCAUAUAUUACUUUUUAUCUGUUCCAAUUUUUUCUUUUUUCUUUUUUCUUUUCGUAACCAAUUAAAAAAAAUACAAACUCCAAAAACUAAACCAAACUGUAUCUCACAAACAGAACUAGCUUUUCCAUUUCCAUUUUGUUCCCCACUUUUCUCUGCUCAUAGUCUCUGGCUGCUAAGAAGUCUAAUAUUUAACAGCUGGAGAGGUUUUCUUCUUCAUGCCAAAAGCAUGGCACAUAUUGUUUCCCUUCUCCAUCCUCCAUCCAUGACCUAACUUAUUCCAUUCCUCCCAUCAUUGUACUUUUCCAACCUUUUUUUUUCAAAUUUUUUUUUUUCCUUUGAUCAACUUCAUCAAACACACCAAUCUACUUAUGUAACAAAAAUAAAAAUAAUUUAGCUCUAUAACUCCACCUCACAGGCUCUGUUUAGCUUCCUUCUUUUAGAAUCAGAGCUAUUGUGGAAGGAAUUUGCACAUGACCCAACUGUGCUCUCUUCACUUUUAUAGCUGAAGCAUGCAGCAUCCAAGACCCCAAUUGGACUCUGGGGCACAGACUGGGCAGAGCCACUAGCAUCCUUAAAGGCCCCACUCAUUAAAGACAUAUCAUGAAUCAAAUUUACACACUUUACCACUCUCUCCUGCAAAAACCAAAAUAAAAACAAAAAAAUUCAGUAUGGCAUGUCUUUUAGGGCAAUCAUAUUUGUAUAUUUGUAUUUGUUUGUAAUUGUAAUCAACUCAAAAUGAUAUGAGCAAAAGCUUUAAAAAAACCAUCAUUUAUGUCUCCCUUUGGGGACUUGGACCACCAACCAUAUACCUUUACUAAGUCUACAUGUUGAAUGAGCAUAGAGAUUGCUUUCUCAGUGUCUAAUGUUUUGGCUUCUCCUGCAACAGAAAUUGCUAUUGCUGCUGCAACCUCUGAUGGCCUGAAUUCCAAGAAGUCAAUUCCUGCAUUCAAUUCCCACCCACCACAAACAUCAGCCCCUCUUUCAUAAUACUGGUGCAAUUGCAGAGAAAUUAUAACAUAUAGCAGAAAAUGCAG